rnacentral:lncRNA from 1 species
CUCAUAUUGUCUUAGAGCAAGCUUCACUAUAUUCCAAGACUCCAACAACGAGUUAAUCAAGCCAAGAAUUUGCUCCUCUUUGUUGAGAAUGAUACCCUCAUCUCCAAGGUUAAAAAUCAUAUCCCACAUUAUCCAUAUAUGUUGAUUCAUUAUGCAUUUUACAUUCAUCUUAUAAGUCAUGAAGUCCAAUACUAUAAUCAUUAUCGCUAAGUUUCAAAACCAAAUUGGGUCUGAGCAUAUACUUUUACCUAUUAUUAAUAGGUCACACCAAUCGAUCAUUAUAGCAAUACGAGCAUAAAAUCAGAAAAUUUUUUAAAACAAAAAGCA